rnacentral:rRNA from 1 species
GAUGAACGCUGGCGGCGUGCCUAAUACAUGCAAGUCGAGCGAACAGACGAGGAGCUUGCUCCUCUGACGUUAGCGGCGGACGGGUGAGUAACACGUGGAUAACCUACCUAUAAGACUGGGAUAACUUCGGGAAACCGGAGCUAAUACCGGAUAAUAUAUUGAACCGCAUGGUUCAAUAGUGAAAGACGGUUUUGCUGUCACUUAUAGAUGGAUCCGCGCCGCAUUAGCUAGUUGGUAAGGUAACGGCUUACCAAGGCAACGAUGCGUAGCCGACCUGAGAGGGUGAUCGGCCACACUGGAACUGAGACACGGUCCAGACUCCUGAGGGAGGCAGCAGUAGGGAAUCUUCCGCAAUGGGCGAAAGCUUGACGGAGCAACGCCGCGUGAGUGAUGAAGGUCUUCGGAUCGUAAAACUCUGUUAUUAGGGAAGAACAAAUGUGUAAGUAACUAUGCACGUCUUGACGGUACCUAAUCAGAAAGCCACGGCUAACUACGUG